GGGGGUGUACUGGUUUCGACAGGGAUAUUGAAAAUAUGUGGGCGUGUCUAGGUUGGUCUCCAACGGGCCUAGUAAAAAGGAGACUAAAUUUUAAAUGCCGACACAAACGUCGAACAUGCAUACGCUAUGGCCGCUUAAUUGCUUCAUAGUUUGCUGAGGGGUCAGCUCCCAAUAACAACAAGCUGACACAAAAGUUCAGAGAGAACUUUUUAAUCAUCUCUCCUCUGAAUUGCCGGGAACACAGAGUGAAAUAACCAUUGGUUGUUUUGAAAUCACCGGGGUUUUGUUGAUUUUAUAAAAUCAACUGGCCAGUUUAAGGGCGACAUCACUUAAAAUACACACGUAGUCCGCUUAUUAGAUUUAUCUUUGGACGCGGGUUCGAUUCCCGCCACCUCCACCA
rnacentral:tmRNA from 1 species